CACGUAGGGUGCGAGCGUUGUCCGGAUUUAUUGGGCGUAAAGAGCGUGUAGGCGGCCUGAAAGGUCAGCUGUGAAAACUCGAGGCUCAACCUCGAGACGUCGGUUGAAACCAUCUGGCUAGAGUCCGGAAGAGGAGUGUGGAAUUCCCGGUGUAGCGGUGAAAUGCGCAGAUAUCGGGAAGAACACCCGUGGCGAAGGCGGCACUCUGGGACGGUACUGACGCUGAGACGCGAAAGCGUGGGGAGCGAACAGG
rnacentral:rRNA from 1 species